UACGUAGGUGGCAAGCGUUGUUCGGAAUUAUUGGGCGUAAAGGGCGCGUAGGCGGCAUGUUAAGUCGGAUGUGAAAACUCGGGGCUCAACCCCGAGCGUGCACCCGAUACUGCCGGGCUUGAGGCAGGUAGGGGAGAUCGGAAUUCCUGGUGUAGCGGUGAAAUGCGCAGAUAUCAGGAGGAACACCGGUGGCGAAGGCGGAUCUCUGGGCCUGUCCUGACGCUGAGGCGCGAAAGCUAGGGGAGCGAACAGG
rnacentral:rRNA from 1 species